GUGCCAGCCGCCGCGGUAAAACGUAGGAGGCGAGCGUUAUCCGGAGUUACUGGGCGUAAAGAGCGUGUAGGCGGGUAUGCAAGUUUGGCGUGAAAGCUCCCGGCUAAACUGGGAGAGUGCGCUGAAGACUGCGUAUCUAGAGGCGAGUAGAGGGACGUGGAAUUCCGGGUGUAGUGGUGAAAUGCGUAGAGAUCCGGAGGAACACCAGUGGCGAAGGCGACGUCCUGGGCUUGACCUGACGCUGAGACGCGACAGCACGGGGAGCGAACGGGAUUAGAAACCCCGGUAGUCC
rnacentral:rRNA from 1 species